rnacentral:rRNA from 1 species
GACGGAGGAUGCAAGCGUUAUCCGGAAUGAUUGGGCGUAAAGCGUCCGCAGGUGGCAGUUCAAGUCUGCUGUCAAAGACCGGGGCUUAACUUCGGAAAGGCAGUGGAAACUGAACAGCUAGAGUAUGGUAGGGGCAGAGGGAAUUCCUGGUGUAGCGGUGAAAUGCGUAGAGAUCAGGAAGAACAUCGGUGGACGAAGGCGCUCUGCUGGAACCAUAACUGACACUCGAGGGACGAAAGC